CUGAGGCAUCUAGGUAGGCACCACAGUGGAUAGAGCACCAGGCCUGGAGUUGGGAGGACCUCAGUUUAAAUCUGACCUCAUAUUCUUCCUUGCUGGAUGACCCUGGUCGAGUCCCUUAACCCCCUUUGCCUAGCCCUUGUCACUCUUUUAUCUUAGAAUUGAUACUAAGACAGAAUGUAAGGGUUUUAAAGAAAUAGAUUUUUCAAUGCCAAGUAUUCAUAAUCUCCAAACUGGGUAGAAGGAAAAACUUGGAAUAUAGAGACUUAGAAGAAAUCAAACCUACGUGCUAACAAGAUGAAAGUCAUACCUGUUGUCCAUAUCCUGAAGUUCUACUCAGGAUCCAUUCAGUGAACUACAGAAGAUGAAGUCACAUCCCAGUAUUUUAAUUCAGGUAAAAAAUUGAUUUUCUCUUUUUGUGUAAUUGUCCACAGAACAUUAAGUACAAGAGAAUAAUAACAGGAUAUUGGCUUGUUCCAGGGUUAUAUAUAGAUGAUACCCAUUGAAAAAAAUCUGAGGAUGAGAUGAGAAUGAUGAUUGAUUCAUAAUUAUAUAGUGCUUUUUAUGAGAGGCAGAGAGAGAGAGAGAAAGAGAAAAAAGGGAUAAGGAGGUGGGGAGAGACAGACAGACAGAGAGACAGAGAAGGAGAGGGAGAGACAGAAAAGAGAGGGAGAGACAGAGAGAAGAAAGAGAGAGAAAGAAGGGGGAGAGAGAGAGAAGAGAGAGAGAGAGGGAAGGAGGGAGGGAGAGAGAGAGAGAAAGAGAGAGAGAGAAAAGAGAGGGAGAGACAGAGAGGAGAGAGAGAGAAAGAAGGGGGAGAGAGAGAGAAGAGAGAGAGAGAGAGAGAGAGAGAGAGAGAGAGAGAGAAGAGAGGGAGAGACAGAGAGGAGAGAGAAAGAAGGGGGAGAGAGAGAGAAGAGAAAGAGAGAGAGGGAAGGAGGGAGGGAGAGAGAGGGGGGGGGAGGGAGGGAGGGAGAGAGAGAAUGCCCCCCCUUGGAGCCAAGAAGAAAAUUGGUUCAAUUCUACCUCUGACACACACCUUAUCUGUGUGACUAUGGGCGGGUCACAACUUCUCCAGUAUACUAGGGAACUCUCCAAGCCCUGGAUCUCUCCCAGCAUGUGGGGUGUGGGUUUCCUUCUAAAGUCUCUAUAUUUCAAGUUUUUCCCUCAUAUCUAGUGUGGGAAGAUUAUGAAUACAUUGGGCAUGAAAAAUCUAAGUUUCAGAGAAGGUGCUGACCUGCAUAGGUAGAAGGAAGCUUCCUUCUCUGGAAGUUCUCUAUCUAUAACAGUGAAAUCACUGGUCCCAGCUCUCUUUAUAUUGGACCAAGUACUUUCAUUUUCACCCAGGAAGGGUGCUGUAGUGGGUAUAGAACAUUGUAUUUGUAGCCAGAGACCUGAAUUCAAAUGUCCCCUCUGGAAAUAUGUGACCCUAAUUCAUACCACUGCUCCCCCCCUCAGUCUUCCUCUCUCUUCCUCUAUUUUCCUCAACAGUUUGCAUGAGUUUCUUAUUUUCUUCUAGAAAUUUCUAUCCCUCCUCCUCUGAAGAGAGACCAACCCCAGAGUCCACUUCUAUCUACUCUUCUUUGUAUCUCCUCAGUGUCUUUUCUUUAGGGAUGCUUUCUCCCACUCUUCUGCCAGGCACCCUGUUUCCAUUGUGAAGAGGGGAGGAUCUGACUUGACUUGGCAUCCCUGCCUUCACAUAUCAAUCAGGGAAGGGUUCUAGUCUUUGGUCUGACACUAAUUCUCUUUGGCUUCUGGUAAAUUCCUUUUUUCCUUUCAGAGCCUUAGUUUCCUCAACUGUGAAAUGAGUGAGUUCAGCUGGAUGAUCUUUAUGUCCCUCCUAACUUGGAAUUUCUCUGUUUAAAGAUCCUUCCACCUCAGACAUCCUAUAUUCAGAGGUCCUUCCCAGUCUGACAUUCUUUGUUCUAAGGGCCCUCCCUGACCUUCCCUGAUAUUAUGUAUUCUAAAGUCCUUCCCAGCUCUUACAUUCCCUGUUCUAAAGCUUCCCCCGGCCUCUGCUCUGAUAUCCUCUGUUCUGGGACCCAUGUUGGCUCUAACCCUCUCAGUUCUAAGCUCCCUUCUAGCUCUUGCUGGGAUUUUCUGUUCAGAAACCUUAGCUGGCUCUAACAUUCUGUUCUAAGUUCUCCUGACAUUCCAUGUUCGAUGAAGUUGACCACGUCUUCCACUAUUCCUGCCUGAGCAUGGCUUUUUGCUUGCCUCAUUUCCCAGUUGGUGCCUGCCAUAUGACUGAUGUACAUCAGUGAAAUAAACAAUCCCUUCUCUCUCCUGGAUAUAUUACA
ensembl:lncRNA